AACGAACGCUGGCGGCAUGCCUAACACAUGCAAGUCGAACGAGACCUUCGGGUCUAGUGGCGCACGGGUGCGUAACGCGUGGGAACCUGCCCUUAGGUUCGGAAUACCUCCCCGAAAGGGGUGCUAAUACCGGAUAAUGUCUUCGGACCAAAGAUUUAUCGCCUUUGGAUGGGCCCGCGUUGGAUUAGCUAGUUGGUAGGGUAAAAGCCUACCAAGGCGACGAUCCAUAGCUGGUCUGAGAGGAUGAUCAGCCACACUGGAACUGAGACACGGCCCAGACUCCGACGGGAGGGAGCAGUGGGGAAUAUUGGACGAUGGGCGAAAGCCUGAUCCAGCAGUGCGGCGGGAGUGAUGAAGGGGGUAGUGUUGUAAAGCUCUUUUACCCGGGAUGAUAGUGACAGUACCGGGAGAAUAAGCACCGGCUAACUCCGUG
rnacentral:rRNA from 1 species